GGCCAAUAUAAAAAUCACUUUAUCGGAAAGUCGGGAUAAGGAAACAAGUUUUUCGAAAAUCGAAAAACUUGUUAAAACGACUCGUUUGACACAACCUAUCGGUUUAUGCCGCCGAUCACUGUUGCAGACAUUUGUAAUUGCCUGGCAGUUCAGUUCCAGGCGCUAUCUUUGUCGCGCCACUCGAAUUCCAAAUAUUUACGCCGGCCAAUCGCGCCGUCGCCGUUUACGCGUACCUAUGUCAUGACGGAUUUAACGCCAGGUUACAGUUAAAUAUCUACCGAAUGCGUUUGUCCCUGGACGAAAAACGCUGGAAAAAAAAAAAAUAAACAAAAACCCUUUUACAAGGCAGCUGUUUAGGCAUAAUGUGUUAUACCCCGCUCCCAAUAAACUGUGCUCCCGUAGGUAGGUAUAUUGAGGAAAAAAAAAAAAAAACAGUUUUACACACGUCGUUUCGACGGCGUGCGGAAGCGUUUCCGUCGUCGGACCUCGUGCGCAAUAAAAUUAAACACACAACAAUAAUAUUAUAAUACACGGGCGGCGCGAAAAACGGAAGAAGGCCGUCCACCUCGAAUAUAAAUUCGCACCGAGAGGAUGUUCCCAUACGCCAGACACGUAUUAUAAUAAUAUUACAAUAUACGUACACCGCGUGUUUAUUAUUCCGUAUAACAGGAACGCACGCAACAUUACGGGCAAAAAACCUACUAGGUUCACGUCGUAAAUACGAUUAUCGUCGUCGAGGAGAUAC